rnacentral:rRNA from 1 species
UACGUAGGAUGCAAGCGUUGUCCGGAUUUACUGGGCGUAAAGCGCGCGCAGGCGGCACUCUAAGUACGUCGUGAAAUAUCCCGGCUCAACCGGGAGGGUGCGAUGUAGACUAGGGAGCUAGAGGUCGGUAGAGGGGGGUGGAAUUGCUGGUGUAGCAGUGAAAUGCGUAGAUAUGCGGAGGAACACCGAUGGCGAAGGCAAUCCCCUGGGCCUGUACUGACGCUCAUGCACGAAAGCGUGGGGAGCAAACAGG